AUUGAACGCUGGCGGCAGGCCUAACACAUGCAAGUCGAGCGGAGCGGGGGACGGGUGAGUGAGGACUAGGGAUCUGCCUGGUAGUGAGGGAUAACGUCAGGGAAGGGGAGCUAAUGACGCAUAAUAUCAGGUCAGCCUAGGGUGGAUUAGCUAGAUGGUGGGGUAAAGGCCUACCAAGGCGACGAUCCGUAACUGGUCUGAGAGGAUGAUCAGUCACACUGGAACUGAGACACGGUCCAGACUCCUACGGGAGGCAGCAGUGGGGAAUAUUGGACAAUGGGCGAAAGCCUGAUCCAGCCAUGCCGCGUGUGUGAAGAAGGUCUUCGGAUUGUAAAGCACUUUAAGUUGGGAAGCGUUACCUACACAAUAAGCACCGGCUAACUACGUGCCAGCAGCCGCGGUAAUAC
rnacentral:rRNA from 1 species